UUUAUCGGAGAGUUUGAUCCUGGCUCAGGACGAACGCUGGCGGCGUGCCUAAUACAUGCAAGUCGAGCGGAUCGAUGGGAGCUUGCUCCCUGAGAUCAGCGGCGGACGGGUGAGUAACACGUGGGUAACCUGCCUGUAAGACUGGGAUAACUCCGGGAAACCGGGGCUAAUACCGGAUAAUUUAGUUCCUCGCAUGAGGAACUGUUGAAAGGUGGCUUUUCGCUACCACUUACAGAUGGACCCGCGGCGCAUUAGCUAGUUGGUGAGGUAACGGCUCACCAAGGCAACGAUGCGUAGC
rnacentral:rRNA from 1 species